UAAAGGUAUAUGCACACUCUGCCUGGCUUUAAUUCAGCUUUUUAAAAUAAGUUUGCACUAUAAAUGGGCUUUGAAGUUGUCAAUCUCCUGUCUCAGUCUCCCAGGUCAACCAUGCCUGGCUCUAGGCAGCUGGUCAAUUCUAAAUAAGCAGUUCAUUAACUAACUCUCUCUGGACGAAUUUGACCUUCUUUGAUCAAGUAAAGGAGUAAGGCGUUCUUCAGGCUUUGAAGGACCAGAGUCAUUUACUGCGAUUUUAUACUGGAUUUACAGUCCUGGGGAGAUGGUCGAUCUCUUUCAUCUGAACUCAGCCAGAAUAACCACGAGCAACGAGGAAGAGAGGCACUGAUUAGAGAUAACUUCAACACACAGCUUCAGGCCCUCGAGGCUCCCACCAGGCCAUUAGCCAAAUGCUGACCUGGAGCCUCAUAAUUCCUUCCGGUUGGAGUCUACACUGUAUAACCACAGUAAGGCGAGAGAGAGGCCAGCCACGAAAGGGACUACUGCUACCACCGCCUGGCCACAAGGUGAAGAUUUAACUAUUAGAGGAUUCAACCAUGAAGGUCUGGGUAUACAGUGCAUCCCUGUGACCCCAGCACUCUGUGCAGAAGCAAGAAGAUAGCAGCAAAUUCAAGGCCUGCCUAAUGACCUACCUACAAAGUCAUACUUAAACUGAGACACUGACGCUCAGUAGAAGCUGAGCAGAAGGAUAGAGACCUGCAGGCCAGCAUGUUCUGUCUAGCAAGUUUAAGGAUAGGGUUACAUAAGGGAACCCCCGUCUCAAUAAUAUAAAGUAAAAUAAAAUAAAAUGAAGGGAGAAGCUUCCCUGAAUACCUGUCAUUGCCAACAUCGGUCCCUAAAUGGCAUCCUGCACAGGUUGCUACGCCCAGUCUCAACUGACUGCACGGAGGGUCCACAGUUGUGUGUCCUAGAGUAACCAGUGACCUAUAGCUUUCCUUGCGUUAACAAGUUCAGCUGAGGUCUUUAAAAUGUUUCACGAAUUUGUAUUUGAGAAGAGACAACUUGAAAUAGCAAAAAUCUUAUUAAAUUUUUA